GACGAACGCUGGCGGCGGGCUUAACACAUGCAAGUCGAACGGAAAGGCCCUGCUUUUGUGGGGUGCUCGAGUGGCGAACGGGUGAGUAACACGUGAGUAACCUGCCCUUGACUUUGGGAUAACGUCAGGAAACUUGGGCUAAUACCGGGUAGGAGCUCCUGCUGCAUGGUGGGGGUGGGAAAGUUUCGGCGGUUGGGGAUGGACUCGCGGCUUAUCCGCUUGUUGGUGGGGUAGUGGCUUACCAAGGCCUGGAGGGGUAGCCGGCCUGAGAGGGUGACCGGCUACAUUGGGACUGAGAUAAGGCCCAGACUCCUACGGGAGGCAGCGGUGGGGAAUAUUGCCCAAGGGGCGGAAGCCUGAUGCAGCAAAGCCGCGUGCGGGAUGACGGGCUUCGGGUUGUAAACCGCUUUCGCCUGUGACGAAGCGUGAGUGACGGUAACGGGUAAAGAAGCACCGGCUAACUACGUG
rnacentral:rRNA from 1 species